rnacentral:tRNA from 1 species
GAGGGUGUAGCUCAGUGGUAGAGCCUGUGCUUAGCAUGCAUGAGGUCCUGGGUUCGACCCCCAGUACCUCCU